CAAAUACUCAAAAAUAAACGUCUCAGUUCGGACUGUAGUCUGCAACCCGACUACACGAAGCUGGAAUCGCUAGUAAUCGCGAAUCAGAAUGUCGCGGUGAAUACGUUCCCGGGUCUUGUACACACCGCCCGUCACACCAUGGGAGUUGGUAAUACCCGAAGCCUGUGAGCUAACUUAAAGAGGCAGCAGUCGAAGGUAGAGCCAAUGAUUGGGGUGAAGUCGUAACAAGGUAUC
rnacentral:rRNA from 1 species